rnacentral:rRNA from 1 species
AGUGAACGCUGGCGGCAGGCCUAACACAUGCAAGUCGAACGGCAGCACAGGAGAGCUUGCUCUCUGGGUGGCGAGUGGCGGACGGGUGAGGAAUACAUCGGAAUCUGCCUAUUUGUGGGGGAGAACGUAGGGAAACUUACGCUAAUACCUCAUACGACCUACGGGUGAAAGUGGGGGAUCGCAAGGACUCACGCAGAUAGAUGAGCCGAUGUGGGAUUAGCUAGUUGGCGGGGUAAUGGACCACCAAGGCGACGAUCCGUAGCCGGUCUGAGAGGAUGAUCAGCCACACUGGAGCUGAGACACGGUCCAGACUCCUACGGGAGGCAGCAGUGGGGAAUAUUGGACAAUGGGCGCAAGCCUGAUCCAGCCAUGCCGCGUGGGUGAAGAAGGCCUUCGGGUUGUAAAGCCCUUUUGUCCGGAAAGAAAAGCAUUCGGUUAAUAACCGGGUGUCAUGACGGUACCGGAAGAAUAAGCACCGGCUAACUUCGUGCCAGCCGCCGCAGUAAUAC